AUUGAACGCUGGCGGCAGGCCUAACACAUGCAAGUCGAACGAGUGGCGGACGGGUGAGUAAUGUCUGGGAAACUGCCCGAUGGAGGGGGAUAACUACUGGAAACGGUAGCUAAUACCGCAUACCAUCGGAUGUGCCCAGAUGGGAUUAGCUAGUAGGUGGGGUAACUGAUCACCUAGGCGACGAUCCCUAGCUGGUCUGAGAGGAUGACCAGCCAAACUGGCACUGUGACACGGUCCAGGCUCCGACGGGAGGCAGCAGUGGGGAAUAUUGCACAAUGGGCGCAAGCCUGAUGCAGCCAGGCCGCGUGUAUGAAGAAGGCCUUCGGGUUGUAAAGUACUUGCAGCGAGGAGGCGUUACUCGCAGAAGAAGCACCGGCUAACGCCGGGCCAGCCGCCGCGGUAAUUC
rnacentral:rRNA from 1 species